rnacentral:sRNA from 1 species
GCCGGGCACGGUGAUGCAUGCCUGUAAUCUCAGCGGCUCUGGAGGCUGAGACAGGAGGAUCACAAGUUCAAAGCGAGCCUCAGCAAUGGUGAGGCGCUAAGCAACUCAGUGAGACCCUGUCUCUA